GACGAACGCUGGCGGCGUGCUUAACACAUGCAAGUCGAACGGAAAGGCCCCUUUGGGGGUACUCGAGUGGCGAACGGGUGAGUAACACGUGAGUAACCUGCCCUUGACUUCGGGAUAACUUCAGGAAACUGGGGCUAAUACCGGAUAGGAAUCCUUGCUGCAUGGUGGGGGUUGGAAAGCUUCGGCGGUUUUGGAUGGACUCGCGGCUUAUCAGCUUGUUGGUGGGGUAGUGGCUUACCAAGGCUUUGACGGGUAGCCGGCCUGAGAGGGCGACCGGCCACAUUGGGACUGAGAUACGGCCCAGACUCCUACGGGAGGCAGCAGUGGGGAAUAUUGAACAAUGGGCGGAAGCCUGAUGCAGCAACGCCGCGUGCGGGAUGACGGACUUCGGGUUGUAAACCGCAUUCAGCAGGGGCGAAGCUUGUGGUGACGGUACCUGCAGAAGAAGCACCGGCUAACUACGUG
rnacentral:rRNA from 1 species